UUGUCCUGCAUCGUCUUUGAGUUCGCUUAUUCCGUUGUCCUCGGGACGUUAAGUUGCUCUGGUCGAGGAUAAAUGACCCCUCUGACCGAGGUAAAACCUGUCGCUGUGUUACCUCUUUACUGAGGCACACGUUAAAGAUUGUUCCGCAUUGUGAGUCUAACACCAGUUGUAUAAACUUUUUACAACCGGUAGCGAUGGAUCCCUUGGCACGUCAUUCGAUGAAGACCGUUGCAAAUUGCGAUAAAGUGAUGUGAUGCGCAAGUCCACCACUUAUACGUGAAUCAUCGAGUUGUUGAACGCAUUGCACCGCGCCCUAAUCCGGCUGCGGUAUGCCCCUUUGAGCGUCAUUGUAUUCCUUCGGGAGUCCUUUUUACAAAGGACCCGAGUUCGGAGUCCUCGGUCCUCUGGAUCGUGUUCUCUUAGAUGCGUCGCACCGAUCGCCUGAUGGGUCUCUAAUGCCUAAGCGUGGAGUUCCUUCAGAGUCUGAGAGGUGCUUGACCGGGUGUUGAGCUCGCGUCACCAAGUCUGCCUCACAAGCAGUACUACAACGCAUGACCUCAUUGGGGUAGGACAACCCGCUAGACUUAAGCAUAUCAAUAAGCGGAGGAAG
rnacentral:rRNA from 1 species